UUGCUUUGGCAACAUACAUAUAUACUAAAAUUGGAACAACAUAAAGAAGAUUAGCAUUGCCCUUGAAUAAGGAUUAUAUACAAAUUAAUGAAGAAUUUCAUAUUUUC